UCACAUAGCCCAGGCUGGCCUGUGACUUGUUGGGUAGCCAAAGCUAACCCUGAAAUACUCUCCUUCCUCCUCUGUCUUCUGAGUGAUGAUAAUAUAUGGGUGUAUUACUUCUGAUGUAUUUAUUUGGCAAUACUGGAGUCUCGUGCAUGCUACACAAGGUCUCUACCCUUGAGCUCAAUUCCCCAAUGUGCCCUCCUCCCCCAGGGUAUGUAUUUAACCUUGUCUACCUAGAACUUGCUCAUUAUUUGGAUCAGGCUAGCCUCCAACUCACAGAGAUCCUCCUACCUUUGCCUACCAAGUUCUGGUUAAAGGUGUAGGCCAUCCCUUGGCCCUUCCCUCUCAUGUGUUUUCAUUAUGUCUACGUGAUAAAGUCAAAGCUACAGUAAGGCCACCUCCCUGAGAAACUUCUUGGACAGAGAUGACCGCUAAGCUUUUCCUGGGGUUUGUUUGUUUGUUUGUUUGGAUUGGAGGAAAAUAUCCAACAAUAGCUCCAUCAUAUAAACCAACAUAGCCAUCAGUUCUAGCCUUGUUUAAGCCAGAUCAACUUAAGUAUUUUCAUAGAAACGACAAAGGCAUGGGGAAAAACUGGAAAACACAGAUAUUGCAAAACUGAAAGCAAACAGGUGAAGACGUUUCCUCCUCCGGAGUUGCCUUCGGGCUAAAGAUUGUAUCUGGUAGAUAGGAGGGAUAAAUAUUAUGCAACGGCAAACCUGGACUCAAGAGCUCCAUACUUACACCAUCUGACACAGACCUGGAUCUGGGGUCUUUCUCCUCUCCAGCAACACAUGGCCAGAAAUGUGUUGCUGUCACUCAUAAGAGAAUCUGAUGACAAAGUAGUUACACCAAUCUGUCCUUAACUGUAAGAGACUCUUAUGAUCUUAUGAGAGUUCUGGAUACCUUUCAAUCUAGAGCUAUGUAGCUAGUGAUGACCAUGAACUGCAGAUCUUCCUGUUUCGUCCUUCCAAGUGCUGGGAUGACAGAUGUCUGACAGCACACCUAGUUGAUAUGAUGCUGGAGACUGAACCAAAGACUUUCAACACAGGCCGACAUGCUAAGCACUUUCCAUCUUGAUGACAUUACUGCUGGCAAUGCUACCGUACAGUACAGCUCAUUAUAAAUCACAGCAGAAGAUCAGAAAGCACUAUCAUCAACUCAUAAAGAAAACAACUGAGGGACUGGAGAGAUGACUCAGCAGGUAAGAGCACUGGCUGCUCUUCCAGAGGACCUGGGUUUGAUUUCUAACCCCAAAUGGUGGCUCACAAUGGGUCCUGUCCUCUUCUCGUCUCUCUGGGUACCAGGCAUGCUCAUGGUACACAGACAUACAUACAGGCAAAACAUCCAUAGGAAUAAAAUGAAAUAGUGAUAAUGGUCUAAAAGAAAACCAAGUUUAGACUUUGUUCCCUGUGUAAAGAUGCUUGAUUGGAAGUCUGGCGGCCUGAGUUAGAUCCUAGGGUCCCACGUGGUAGAAACAAUGGGCUCCUGCAGAUUCUCCUCUGACCUCCAUAAGCACACCAUGGUACACAUAUGCUCCCCAACACACUCCCAUAAAAGUGAAAGAAUUCAUCCAGCCCAACAUAUAACAUUGAAUCUGAUGCCCAGCUAGAAAAUGGUUAAAACAUUUAUUUGAGCUUUGUGUACGUUUUCAAAGAUGAACUUGGGCAGAAACAGGAGAGACUCUGCCUUAAAGCAUGGUGGAAGGCAAACACCAUCUCCUCACUGUUUUCUCAUCUCCACAUGAGCACCAUGGUGUGUAUGCUUUCGAGUGUGUGCACAUGCUCGUGCACACCCACGCUCCCACCCACAUGCCAAAUCCAAGAAACUCACUUCACUCAAAGGAGGUGUGCAACAUUGUUGUUCUGUGCCGAGUGAGAACUUCCAGAAAGCAGAAGUGGAAGGAUCUAGUAUAGGAUAGAGAGAACGCCAGAGCUAGGGACAGCAUUAGAAUCUUAAAAUUAUGUGAUCAUUUCAUGACUUGCUUAUUAUGGUGGCUAUGAUGAAAAUAAGACCUGUGUAUUAUCUCAUUCGCUAUGGAAACAGCUGCUACUGCACCUGAGAAGUUUGCUGAGGGCUUGUAGGUCUCAGUCAUACAGUCGUAACUCCCUCUUAGCUUUACCAUUGUCUGAAUCUCCAUCAAAAACUUCUUCCUGUUUUGUCUCCUUCUUCCUCAUCCCCUUCCCCUCCUCAUCUUCCAUAUCUUAGUCUUCCUCUUCCU